rnacentral:rRNA from 1 species
CCUACGUGAGGCAGCAGUGAGGAAUAUUGGUCAAUGGCCGGAAGGCUGAACCAGCCAAGUCGCGUGAGGGAAUACGGCCCUAUGGGUCGUAAACCUCUUUUGUCAGGGAGCAAAGGCGUCCACGAGUGGACGAAAGGAGAGUAACUGAAGGAAAAGCAUCGGCUAACUCCGUGCCAGCAGCCGCGGUAAUACGGAGGAUGCGAGCGUUAUCCGGAUUUAUUGGGUUUAAAGGGUGCGUAGGCGGAGUGUCAAGUCAGCGGUAAAAUUUCGGGGCUCAACCCCGUCGUGCCGUUGAAACUGACACCCUUGAGUGAGUGAGAAGUAAGCGGAAUGCGUGGGGUAGCGGUGAAAUGCAUAGAUAUCACGCAGAACCCCGAGUGCGAAGGCAGCCUGCCAAGCCAUGACUGACGCUGAUGCACGAAAGCGUGGGGAUCAAACAGGAUUAGAUACCCUGGUAGUC